AACGAAGGGGGCUAGCGUUGCGCGGAAUCACUGGGCGUAAAGCGCACGUAGGCGGCUGCUUAAGUCAGGGGUGAAAUCCUGGGGCUCAACCCCAGAACUGCGCUUGAUACUGAGGAGCUUGAGUCCGGGAGAGGUGAGUGUAACUCCGAGUGUAGAGGUGAAAUUCGUACGUAUUCGGAAGAACACCAGUGGCGAAGGCGGCUCACUGGCCCGGUACUGCCGCUGAGGUGCGAAAGCGUGGGGAACAAACAGG
rnacentral:rRNA from 1 species